CAGUCGCCGCGGUAACACAGAGGGUGCGAGCGUUAAUCGGAUUUACUGGGCGUAAAGCGUGCGUAGGCGGCUUCUUAAGUCGGAUGUGAAAUCCCUGAGCUUAACUUAGGAAUUGCAUUCGAUACUGGGAAGCUAGAGUAUGGGAGAGGACGGUAGAAUUCCAGGUGUAGCGGUGAAAUGCGUAGAGAUCUGGAGGAAUACCGAUGGCGAAGGCAGCCAUCUGGCCUAAUACUGACGCUGAGGUACGAAAGCAUGGGGAGCAAACAGGAUUAGAGACCCCCGUAGUCCCUGUCUCUUAUAC
rnacentral:rRNA from 1 species